rnacentral:rRNA from 1 species
UAGGCCUCACACAUGCAAGUCGAGGGGCAGCAUAGGGUAGCAAUACUUUGAUGGCGACCGGCGCACGGGUGAGUAACGCGUAUGCAACCUACCUAUAACAGGGGCAUAACCCGGAGAAAUUCGGACUAAUACCGCAUAAAACAGGGGCUCCGCAUGGAGAUAUUUGUUAAAGAUUUAUCGGUUAUAGAUGGGCAUGCGUUCCAUUAGCCAGUUGGUGAGGUAACGGCUCACCAAAGCAACGAUGGAUAGGGGAACUGAGAGGUUUGUCCCCCACACUGGAACUGAGACACGGACCAGACUCCUACGGGAGGCAGCAGUGAGGAAUAUUGGUCAAUGGGCGAGAGCCUGAACCAGCCAAAUCGCGUGAAGGAAGACUGCCUUAUGGGUUGUAAACUUCUUUUAUACAGGAAUAAAAAGAGUUACGUGUAACUUAUUGCAUGUACUGUAUGAAUAAGCAUCGGCUAACUCCGUGCCAGCAGCCGCGGUAAUACGGAGGAUGCGAGCGUUAUCCGGAUUUAUUGGGUUUAAAGGGUGCGCAGGCGGGAACUUAAGUCAGCGGUGAAAUCUCGACGCUUAACGUCGAAACUGCCGUUGAAACUGGGUUUCUUGAGUAUAGAUGAAGUAGGCGGAAUUCGUUGUGUAGCGGUGACAUGCUUAGAUAUAACGAGGAACUCCGAUUGCGUAGGCAGCUUACUAAGCUAUAACUGACGCUCAAGCACGAAAGCGUGGGGAUCAAACAGGAUUAGAUACCCUGGUAGUCCACGCCGUAAACGAUGAUUACUAGUUGUAUGCGAUAUACGGUAUGUGACUAAGCGAAAGCGAUAAGUAAUCCACCUGGGGAGUACGCCGGCAACGG